UCGGACAGGUCUGCGCAAUGCA
rnacentral:miRNA from 1 species